rnacentral:rRNA from 1 species
AGUGAACGCUGGCGGUAGGCCUAACACAUGCAAGUCGAACGGCAGCACAGUAAGAGCUUGCUCUUACGGGUGGCGAGUGGCGGACGGGUGAGGAAUACAUCGGAAUCUACUUUUUCGUGGGGGAUAACGUAGGGAAACUUACGCUAAUACCGCAUACGACCUACGGGUGAAAGCAGGGGAUCUUCGGACCUUGCGCGAUUGAAUGAGCCGAUGUCGGAUUAGCUAGUUGGCGGGUUAAAGGCCCACCAAGGCGACGAUCCGUAGCUGGUCUGAGAGGAUGAUCAGCCACACUGGAACUGAGGCACGGUCCAGACUCCUACGGGAGGCAGCAGUGGGGAAUAUUGGACAAUGGGCGCAAGCCUGAUCCAGCCAUACCGCGUGGGUGAAGAAGGCCUUCGGGUUGUAAAGCCCUUUUGUUGGGAAAGAAAAGCAGCAGGUUAAUACCCCGCUGUUCUGACGGUACCCAAAGAAUAAGCACCGGCUAACUUCGUG